rnacentral:rRNA from 1 species
AGUGAACGCUGGCGGUAGGCCUAACACAUGCAAGUCGAACGGCAGCACAGUAAGAGCUUGCUCUUACGGGUGGCGAGUGGCGGACGGGUGAGGAGUACAUCGGAAUCUACUUUUUCGUGGGGGAUAACGUGGGGAAACUUACGCUAAUACCGCAUACGACCUACGGGUGAAAGCAGGGGAUCUUCGGACCUUGCGCGAUUGAAUGAGCCGAUGUCGGAUUAGCUAGUUGGCGGGGUAAAGGCCCACCAAGGCGACGAUCCGUAGCUGGUCUGAGAGGAUGAUCAGCCACACUGGAACUGAGACACGGUCCAGACUCCUACGGGAGGCAGCAGUGGGGAAUAUUGGACAAUGGGCGCAAGCCUGAUCCAGCCAUACCGCGUGGGUGAAGAAGGCCUUCGGGUUGUAAAGCCCUUUUGUUGGGAAAGAAAAGCAGCAGGUUAAUACCCCGCUGUUCUGACGGUACCCAAAGAAUAAGCACCGGCUAACUUCGUG